rfam:Frankia sp. EAN1pec, complete genome.
GAAGAGCUCUGCGUCGAAGGGCUAGCGACCCACGGCGACCCCGAGUCAUGCGUCGACGUCCCGCGAGGGCGUGGCGAAGCGUUGACAGGGGCACGUGCAGGCCGGGCUAUGGAGCCGCGAAAUGAAGCAUCCGGGGUGCCCACGCUGUACAAGAGGCGGAAGGCCACACUACUGGCGGCGCUAUCGCGAGUCGUCGGUGGACCCUGCGCGGUCAAAGAACC